CCUACGGGAGACAGCAGUGAGGAAUAUUGGUCAAUGGACGAGAGCCUGAACCAGCCAAGUCGCGUGAAGGAUGAAGGCUCUAUGGGUUGUAAACUUCUUUUAUAUGGGAAUAAAGUGAGGAACGUGUGGGUUUUUGUAUGUACCAUAUGAAUAAGGAUCGGCUAACUCCGUGCCAGCAGCCGCGGUAAUACGGAGGAUGCGAGCGUUAUCCGGAUUUAUUGGGUUUAAAGGGUGCGUAGGUGGUUUAUUAAGUCAGUGGUGAAAGUUUGCGGCUCAACCGUAAAAUUGCAGUUGAAACUGGCUGUCUUGCGUACAUUUGAGGUAGGCGGAAUGCGUGGUGUAGCGGUGAAAUGCUUAGAUAUCACGCAGAACUCCGAUUGCGAAGGCAGCUCACUACACUACAACUGACACUGUGGCUCG
rnacentral:rRNA from 1 species